CGAGCGCGCCGCGUGCAGCCCGCGCUCCGAGCGCUCCCGCCGCGCGCCCGGCCCCGGCCCCCGCCGCGCCCGCGCCGCUCCCCCGCCCGCCCGCGCCCCCGGCCACCCGGCCCGGCCUUUCUCGUGGCUUCUUUAUUUCCUGCUUCCCCCUCUCUGGGCUGGAGCGCACGGCCAGGCCCUGGCUCGCGUGGCUGCAGCAACCACACCGCGCGGGUCCCCUGGGCUGACUCCGGCGCGGGGGCGGCCGUCCGGGGCCCGCGGGGAACCGGGGGCCGCCUUGGGCGCUGGGCGCCUGGAGGGGCCGCGCCUCCAGCGAUCCGAGGGCCGGGGAGGCGGGGGCUGCCUAGAGGGCCGGCGGGGACCCGGGGCGGUUUCCCGUCUUCGCUUUUUCCUUCCUGCCGCUCGUCCCCCCGCCCCCCCCCCAACAGCCCCGGGUUUUUCAUUUGGGACGAGUGGAGAAAGCCAGGGGCAGGGAUGACCACGUCCAACUGUUGGUUUCUCCCCAUGGUUCCAGCCAGAUGGCACCGGCGGGGACCCAAGAAGUAAAUGGGGUCAGGUCAUGGGGUUGUUGGAAAGCCCUGGCCGGCAGCGGGCCGGCCGCCUGGUAAAAGGCGCCGGGAGGGGACAAGAAUCUGGGGCUGGGCGGAGGCCAGCCACGGCGCGCUCGGGCAAUUUGUGACAUUAGCAGGUACAAAAGAGAAGUCUGGGUUCUGGCUGAGGACUAGAGACUGCCCAAGGAGCGAUUUGAAUACGGAUAGAAUGGGAACCAAACUUUUACGCAUCUUCAGGAAACACAGACCUCUCGGGCACGCAGCCUCUUUAGGCUUUGGUGAGGGUGCUGCCUCGUUUCCGGCAUAAAAGGUCGUGGCUUGUGGCUCAAAAUGCGGAUCUACACCGCUUAGCCGAUUUGUUCGCCUAUAGUGGGGGAGCCGCUUUCCGAAGGAGUGAAACAAUUCUACAAAGUUGCAGUUCAGUGCUUUCAACAGAGAAGUUACAGAAGUGGAACCCGUGAUAAUUCUGAAACCGAUGUAUUUAAUGACAGAUCGAAUUAGAAACGAAUACAACUGAAGGUAGCUUUUUACUAACCAAGGCUGACAUACUGGCAAAAUAUCAUGCCUCCAAACCUCCAUUAUUUCCGUAGUGUUACGCUGCCCGGGAUGAGAGCAUUGAGGGCUGGGAUCUCGAGGACCUGAGGUGGAAAUAGAACACGGACAACUGCUGCCUGAAGUUCUGUGGGAUCCUGUUGGCUCUGUUUAGUUCUUUUUUUUUUCUUUUAAGUUUAUUUAUUUAUUUUGAGAGAAAAAGAGGGAGAGACAGAAUCCCAAGCAGGUUCCAGGCUGUCAGGGCAGAGCCGGACAUUGGGGUUGGACUCAGAAGUGGUGACAUCAUGACCUGAGCUGAGAUGAAGUCAGAUGCUUAACCAGCUGAGCCACCCAGGUGCCCCCCCCCCCACGCUCUGUAUAUUUCAAUGGAUUUAAGGAAUAAUAUUCCUGCUUAUGUUAAGUCAUCCUGGCAGCAUCUUGUUUCCAAACGGAUCCUGAUGAUGGCAAUAGCCGACCAUGACGUCGUACCAUCGUCAGCCAUGAUCUUCUAUGCAGUCAUGGCCGUCAGUCACCACCAUAGCUAUCAGAUGAUGAUUAUUGCCUCUUGCAGGUGGGUAAAAUAAGACUCAGAGAGUCAAGUAUCCUACCGCCAUGGUGUCACCCACGCAUUACAAAUGAAGCAGGUCUGAAAAGCUGGCAGAGCACCAUGGGAGAGAAGAGGACCACAAGACACCCAAUAUGGCCAGUUGGGUAAAAGGCCCAAAGAGGUUUGAAGGCUUGGAGGAAGUCACAAAAUAAGUGCAAGAAGCAGACUUGAGGCUAAAACUCAGGCCUCAGGACUCAAUUUCACAGACAUUCCAUUCUAAAGGCAUUAAUCCAAAGCCUUAAAUGAUAUGGAAAUUUUAUACCAUACUAGAGGCAUUAUUUCUGCCAACAUCGGCACAGUGGAUUGCAAAGGCCAGAGGACUGAAAACACCAAUGACAUAAUGAGAAUUGAACAUCAUCCGGUUACUGAGUGCUAUAUCAGCAAGUUCCAAGGAUCUUUUGCAUGCCUUUUAACAGCCUAUAGCCUAAAACUGAAGUGUUCGAUACAAACACCCAGAUUGAAACUCAGGCAGUGAAUUACAUACACAACAGAUCAAUGAACACCGCAGAUCUUGUCAAACUCAUGAAUAAUUAAAUGUAUUUUUAUACUGCCACAAGGUUAGUGUUCACAGGUCUAAAUUGGAAAAGGCAUCAGUUGAAGAAGAAUCCUAACCUCAGCGUCACUCAUCGAGGAGACAUUUGGAGGUGAUAGAGGUAAAGUCAUAAAAAUGUUGACAAAUUAAUGAGAGAAAUUUGAGGAAAAGCAUUUCACAUAUAG
rnacentral:lncRNA from 1 species